UUUUCUAAAUCUUUUGGCAAGUUAUUAUAGAUUUUAAUAGCCAUAGAAUAAGGACUUUUAAGAAACGUUGUGCUGCUACAUUUGGGCAUGAUUAAUUUAUUAGGAUAACGUUGUGAUCUUUUUGCAACAUUGUUAUCCUUGUUUUGUACAAAGUAUUUUGGAUGUUUUUUAACAAAGAUGCACAUGUCUCUAAUGUACAUACAAGGCAGCAGUUGCCCCACAUUAUAAGACCGUAAGAUAAGAUGGAUGACACAUAUCCGUGAUAUGCACAUAGAGCUGCCGAUAUUGAUACAGUCUUUGCUAAGCGUCGCAGUGCAUACACGAACUUGUCAAGCUUGCUACAAAUAUAGUCAACAUGUGCUUUCCAGUUGGAGUGCUGGUCAAACAUAAGUCCUAAAAAUUUUAAUGAUUCCACUUCCUCUACAAUAAUGUUGUCAUAAGUGAUUUUCUUGGGUAUCUGCAUUGCAUUAUAAUAUUUAAAUUGCAUUAUUUUCGUUUUAUUAAGAUUAACUUGUAAGUCAUUUUUGAUCAACCAUGAUAUUAUAUCAUUGAGUGCAUUUCUUAAUUCUUGUUCGUAAAAUAAUAUGUUUUGGCAUUUGACCAAGAUUGUAGUGUCAUCAGCAAACAGAAUUUUUAGAUGUUUAGUUGCAGUUGUGACGUCAUUUAUGUAUACCAGAAAAAGAAAUGGACCAAUCAUACUUCCUUGUGGAACUCCUAUGUCUAAAUAUGCAUACCUAGAUUUAUAAGUUUUUUUAAAAUUACCAACAAUUUUUGUAAUUACUGUACACACCUUCCGAUUACUUAAAUAGGAUUUUAUCCAGUCAUAUGCCUUGCCCCUGAUUCCAUAUUUUUCUAGUUUAGCCAGUAGAAUGUCAUGAUUAACUAAGUCAAAAGCCUUGGUCAUGUCUAAAAAUAUCCCUGUGAUAGGUAUUUUGUUAUUUAAACUUUCAUGUAUUAUUUUGCUCAAAUAAAAACAGGCUUCUGUAGUAGAGCUAUUGUCUCGGAAACCAAACUGUUCAUUAGCUAGCAGAUUUUCUGAAUU